UAAUAUAUCGGAACGUACCCUGGAGUGGGGGAUAACGUAGCGAAAGUUACGCUAAUACCGCAUACGAUCUAAGGAUGAAAGCAGGGGACCGCAAGGCCUUGUGCUCCUGGAGCGGCCGAUAUCUGAUUAGCUAGUUGGUGGGGUAAAAGCCUACCAAGGCAUCGAUCAGUAGCUGGUCUGAGAGGACGACCAGCCACACUGGAACUGAGACACGGUCCAG
rnacentral:rRNA from 1 species